CGCACAGCUCACUAACACGUGGCUAACCUGCCCUUGGGACGGGAACACCCCCGGGAAACUGGGGCUAAUUCUCGAUAGGUGAAGAACUCUGGAAUGAGUCUUCGCCUAAAAGACAUCUGCGUCAUGCUCGUAGGUGCCGCCCAAGGAUGGGGCCGCGACCGAUCAGGUUGUUGGUGAGGUAAUGGCCCACCAAGCCUAUAACCGGUGCGGGCCGUGAGAGCGGGAGCCCGGAGAUGGGCACUGAGACAAGGGCCCAGGUCCUACGGGGCGCAGCAGUCGCGAAACCUUUGCAAUACACGAAAGUGUGACAGGGUCAUCCCGAGUGCCGACCGCUGAGGUUGGCUUUUACCCAGUCUAGAAAGCUGGGGGAAUAAGGAGAGGGCAAGUCUGGUGUCAGCCGCCGCGGUAAUACCAGCUCUUCGAGUGGUGUGGACGUUUAUUGGGCCUAAAGCAUCCGUAGCUGGCUGAACAAGUCCCCUGUUAAACCCACCGAUUUAAUCGUUGGUCUGCGGGGGAUACUGCUCGGCUAGGGGACGAGAGAGGCAGGCGGUAUUCCCGGGGUAGGGGUGAAAUCCUAUAAUCCCGAGAAGACCACCAGUGGCGAAGGCUGCCUGCUAGAACGCGCCCGACGGUGAGGGAUGAAAGCUGGGGGAGCGAACC
rnacentral:rRNA from 1 species